rnacentral:tRNA from 1 species
GCGAGAGUAGCUCAGCUGGUAGAGCCCCACGUUGCCAACGUGGCUGUCGCGGGUUCGAGUCCCGUCUCUCGCUCUA